rnacentral:lncRNA from 1 species
AAGGGUUCAUUUGUGUUCUAAAAAGCUUGUUUCUUCAGUCAGCCCCAGAUUUCCUAGAAACCAUGUGAUUGUGCCUCAGCCUCAUUACCAUAUCUACACUUUAUAGCCCACUCUGGGUGUUCCCCCAACGUUCAGGAUUAGCCUGCACUAUAUAAAGGAAGCUCUUCCUGGCAGAUCAUAAGCCAGCACCCUUUGGUGAGGUGAAACUCCAGGUGAUGGAGGUGUGAGAGAUGAAUAUGGAUCCUGAAACACCAGCAGAUGCUCUAUCUGCUGGAGGAGCUUUAAGUGUUCCUGAAAGUUCCAGAAAUGUUGCUGCAGAAGGCGGGGGGGCAGAGGUCAGGGAUGCUGAAGGUGAAACUCCUGCUGCUAAGGCUGUAAGACAGGUGCACCCUGCACUACAGGCAGGUGCUCCUGCUGCUGAGGCUGUGAGACAGCUGGACCCUGCACUACAGGCAGGUGCUUCUGCUGCUGAGGCUGUGAGACAGGCGGACCCUGCACUACAGGCAGGUGCUCCUGCUGCUGUGAGACAGGCGGACCCUGCACUACAGGCAGGUGCUCCUGCUGCUGAGGAUGCUCAGAGAGUAAGAUACACACUGCUGCAUGUUAGCGCUUCAAUCAUUUAUUUUAAUGUGGACUGG